GGCGCGGUGGACGUAUUGGUAGAGUCGCCCGGCUUUCACCCGGGACAUGUGCGGGUUCGAGUCCCGUCCGCGCUGCCC
rnacentral:tRNA from 1 species